GGGGCGGGGGCGCGGCGGGGCCGUCUACCUCGCUCGCUCCCUCUCUGCCUCCUUCCUCGCGCCUCGGCCCAACAUGGCGAUGCACAACAAGGCGGCGCCGCCGCAGAUCCCGGACACCCGGCGGGAACUGGCCGAGCUGGUGAAGCGCAAGCAGGAGCUGGCGGAGACGCUGGCAAACUUGGAGAGACAGAUCUAUGCUUUUGAAGGGAGCUACCUGGAAGACACCCAGAUGUAUGGCAAUAUUAUUCGGGGCUGGGACCGCUAUCUGACAAAUCAAAAAAACUCCAAUAGCAAAAAUGAUCGUAGGAACCGAAAAUUUAAGGAAGCCGAACGACUCUUCAGUAAAUCUUCAGUUACUUCAGCAGCGGCAGUCAGUGCAUUGGCUGGAGUUCAGGACCCACUCAUUGAAAAAAGGGAACCAGGCAGUGGUACAGAGAGUGACACAUCUCCAGACUUUCACAAUCAGGAGAAUGAACCCAGCCAAGAGGACACAGAGGAUUUGGAUGGAUCGGUGCAGGGGGUGAAACCCCAGAAGGCUGCUUCCUCCACCUCUUCAGGGAGUCAUCACAGCAGCCAUAAAAAGAGGAAGAAUAAAAACCGACACAGCCCGUCUGGCAUGUUUGAUUAUGACUUUGAGUAUGUAUAUUAGGUUAGGCUGGGAAGUUUUUUUAAAAAACAGAAAAACGUGAUGGAGGAUUGAUCUGAAGCUAAACAAAAAGCCAAGAGCCGAUUAUUAGAAGACCCAUUAAUACAGAAGCUUACAGGCUGUAGAGCCCUGCCCUCAUACAACUUCACCAAGAGAAACACCCCUCCACUGAGUGGCCAUUAAUGUCUGCACUCCCAGACCCAGUGCCUGCAUUGAGGAGUAGUUUGUUCUAAAGAGGGGUGAAAGAAAAGCCUUUCUGUAAAACCACAUCAGACCAUUUACCUCGUGUCAUUUUUAGUAACUGAACUGCAGGAAGACCAAGGCACGGUGCAGUCCUAGGUUGCCUACUUUCUGCAGUUCUCCAUUCUUGGGAUUGAGUACUUCCCAGCACUGGCUGCAUCAGAGUCUUCUGUGAUACCCAUUGAGAGAUGUCUUGGGUUUUUUUUGAUGCCGAAACCAGCGCCCAGUUGUGUUUUGUCGUAUGGAGGCUGUAAAUAUCAGGCAUUUCCUUAUUCUGCCUUACGUGUUGUUUGUUGUUACUGUCUUGUUUUCUUUGAGGGGUUUGUUGUAAUACAGUUGUACAGCUUAUGGCUUCCUGCUGUUUUCUUUGGAAUCUGAUUAUCUUUACUUGGCUUAGAGGCUGAUAUCCUAACACAAAUAAUCUCUAGUAGCAUAAAUAAAAUGGAUGACUUGUCCUAUUUGUCUUUUUGCAGGGGGAAGGUAGAGGGUUAUUUAAUUUUUUUCUCAUCUUCUGAAUUGGAAGCAAUUUUCAUGUACAGGCAAAUGGUAAUAGCUAAAAAACAUAAGUUCAAAUCCUUUUAGAACAUAAGUUUUUAUUAUUUUGUAUAAAAAAUAAAAUUUCACAGGCAUCAGUCUCUUCUCAUGCUUUACUUUUGCAUUUGAGAUUUUUUUCCCCAUUGAUUUUUAUUUUCCUCAUUUCAUACCAUACAGAAAAUAUCAGGUGUUUGACACUCAUCUCUCUUUUCAUCUUGUCUGUAAUCCUCCAACUGGCAUUUACUCCAUUCUAGAAAGAUCCAUUACUAAGCUUCUCUCUGUACCUUCAUAAGACAUAAGGAAGAAUUCAGGAAUUCCAUAGAAAAAUCACUUACAAAGUGGGAAAGCUAUUAUAGACUAAUUAACUGACUUAUCUUCCAUUUUAAGUUGGGAGGAGGGGAGGACUAACAGGUUGCUGAACCUGAAGAACCUACUGAAAACUGUUUAAAGGAACUUGGCAGUUUGAUGAUUGGACUUAAAGCAAAUGUUAGGGUUUAUUCAAAGGAACAAGACUUUGGGGUUGGUAUUUUGCUUUAUUCAUUUAUUGAUAGAUCUUACUUGUGUCCAUGUCUUUAUUGGGGAAAAUGUUUUAUUUGCUAAAUUCUUGAUAGAUCCACAAAUGCAGAAGUUUUUUUUGUUAAUGGGAUGAGGUUCCUGAAGAGAGGAUGCAGCAUCUUAUCAAAUCAACAAACCACCCCCCUCCCCCCAAACAGCACUGCAUCUGUGCUCUCAGACUUUUUGCCUCCUUAGGUAGGCUUUGGUUUGGUUAGCAAGAGUGCCUGCCUCUGAGCUGCCAGUGGAACAGUUAGAUGUUUGUGCCAGGAAGGAUGCUGGGAAGAAGAGGUAUCCCGAAGGAAAGCCCAGCAGCUGUCUCCUCGUCUAUCAUACUGGCCCUUUGUGCAGGGGAGAGGCCAGCACUAUUUCUCAUGUAUUAGUCAUUGGCUUCUGUGAUGUUUAACCUAGCACAUAGCAAACCGGUUAUAUCCCCAGCUCAUGAUUUGGACUUUGUUAGUGAUUUAGUGGCAGUGUACGUAAAAUAUACAUAUACAUAUAUAUUUAUAUUUAGUAUUCACUCUCCCCACCCACCCCCCACUAUAUGAACUGCUGCAUCAUUAUAAAGCCAACUGCUUUCAUUUGUGCUUCUAUCAAAGGGAUCAGUCCCAUAGAGACUUUUCGGGUUUUAGGUAGAUCUGACUUGGAGUCGUAUGCAGCAGUAUAAAAGAGGUUUUUUUGAAUUACAGGAUUUCUCCUGGGACACUUGGAAGAACUGCAUUUGGAGUAUUUGUCAUUUUUGGUUUAGACUAGGAAGUGCAGGACCAUUGCCUAACUUAAUAAGGAAUCCUAUCCAGUGUCAUCAUCGACCCAAAGAAAAACUUGGGGAAUGCAAUAGAACCUGGAGAGAGCAACUGGAACUCGUAGCAAGCAGGGCCUUGCAUAUAAAUAUUUGUUAGUGUGAUGUGAUUUGGAAGAUUGGUUACCCAAAACCUUCUCAGAUUUUGUCCUGGUUUUCUGGGUGCUCUGGGGUUCCCUCUGUUCUUGGCAGUAGUUGUUAAGGCCAAAAGUUAAAAUACUCAGAAGUACUACCACAAACUAUGGAAAAUCUCUUUUUAGUAGUACUGAUUCCUUGGGGGAAUUUGAGUUUCACUUAAGGACUCUGGUGGAUUUGUUGAGACAAUUGUCCUAAAUGGAUAGCAGUGAGUUGCUUUAUAAGAAGUGCUUAGAAAUCUGUAGGGUAUUAUGUAGAAGUCAGCUGCUAACUCCCCUUCCAUUUUACUCCCUUCUCCCCAUUUCCCCAAAGCCAAAUAGUAGAGGUGGGGAACUCUCCCUGUUCUUUAUUUUCUUCUUCACCUCAAGCUUUGCCUUAGGAAAAUACAUUUGUUCCUUCUUACCUCAUCUCCCACCCUGUAAGCUGGCUACAGUAGUAAUUUUGAGACAUAUCAAAGCAAAACAUUUCCAAGGACUUUGCUGGUAUACUUUUUGUUUCAUUAUUUAUAGGGGGAGGUGACAUUUGGCAGUCAUUAAAAUAUCUUCACCCAUUAAUGCCUUAUAUGGUGUAUUCUUGUGUAAUACAGGACUUGCCUUUGGUCCUUGGGGUUUGUGAGGUUCAACAUGAUGAGAAUUCAGAUAUAUAUGUCAUAGGAAGUUGGAACUGGGCAUUUUUCUGAACGGCAUUAAUUUCACCCUUAUAAACUGAAGAUUCCAAGCAGUGACCAGGAAAAGAAAGCAGUUAAGCCUACAGCAAAAGUGUUAGUCUAGACACAAUGUGUAAACUCAGGCGAGCAAAGGGGCUUUUCUCAAGGAGCUGAGCUAGGCAGGGAUAUUCAGACUGGUAGCUGGUCUAUGGGUCUUUGGGAAUCUUAUAAGUGCUUUAAAGAGUAGGUGAAAAUCAUUUGUAUAGUGAAACCUCAUUAGUACUAAGGGGGGUUGGGGUUCCAUGUAGCUAACCUGAACUAGGCAAUCUUGAAGGGCAGAUUCAUUACUUUGAAGUAUUUAACUGGCACAAGACUAAAGUGUUAAAGUAGAGAUCCUCUGGGACCCACUUUAAUGAGCAAAAAAGAAUGAUGUAUAGUUUUAUCUGUGUGUUUGAAAGGUUUCUCUUAUGCUGAUAAACAACCUUCUUAUUGUCUUUGCACCAUUUUCUUAGAAAGCCUUUUCUUCAGUAUUGUACAGAGCUAAAUUUCCAAUUCCCAUUUCAAGCCUAGAAUCCAAGAGGUGAGAGCUGGAAAGGACCUUUAGCGAUCAUGUGGGCCAGCUGCCUCAUUGAGCAGAUGAAGAAAGAGCCCUAGAAAGAGAAUGAGCGGCAGAUCCCGAACUAGAACCCAGGUCUCUUGGUUCCCUGUCCAGUGCUCUUCUUAUGAACUUUUAUUGUAUUGGAUGCUUGACUGAAGCUUGCUUUGGUCACGUCUUUGAAAAGAAAGGGUUUGCUAAGCAAAGGAAGUCAAUGAGAAGGCAGGAAGAAUGUUUAUUUGUGGAUUAAAGCAAAUAAUCAGGUAUAUCUUAAGCUCAAUAAGGAAAGUAGUUAAUAGUUUAAUAUUAGAUUCAGAAGUAAUGCCAACUCUUUUAAAAGGUUCUGUAAUUGGAUUUUGUAUUAAUUUACAGAUUUCUCCCCAUCACCACUUUAUUCCAUUCUCAUUUAGGAAGCUUGCUUAUGUGUGGCUUUUGUUCUGGUGAUGCCUUAGUUUAGGGGGUUUCCUGCUUUGGGUGGGAAGGGGAGGAGGGUUGGUCUUUUUUGUAAACACUUAUUUCUCCCCAAGAGGUGUCAUCCUAUUUGCAGUGCCUAGAAAUGCUCUGUGUGUGUGUGUGUGUGUGUGUGUGUGUGUGUGUGUGUGUGUGUGGCAGACACCCCUGGAAAUAAGAGAAAAGGAUUGGAACAGCCAUUCCUUCCAUUUGCUGUCAGAAUAAGUCGUAUUGAUGUCUUGGUUUUAUAGGUGAUGUUCUUCAUCAUUUGGAACAAAAUUGCGUGUGUUUUAACUUUGAUAAUCCUGCUCCUGUAGAAUAAAGGUUCUCUUUCACUCUCUGCAA